AUUGAACGCUGGCGGCAGGCCUAACACAUGCAAGUCGAGCGGGGUUUUCGGACCUAGCGGCGGACGGGUGAGUAAUGCGUAGGAAGCUACCCGAUAGAGGGGGAUACCAGUUGGAAACGACUGUUAAUACCGCAUAAUGUCUACGGACCAAAGUGUGGGACCUUCGGGCCACAUGCUAUCGGAUGCGCCUACGUGGGAUUAGCUAGUUGGGGGGGUAAUGGCUCACCAAGGGCACGAUCCCUAGCUGGUUUGAGAGGAUGAUCAGCCAAACUGGAACUGAGACACGGUCCAGACUCCUACGGGAGGCAGCAGUGGGGAAUAUUGGACAAUGGGCGCAAGCCUGAUCCAGCCAUGCCGCGUGUGUGAAGAAGGCCUUCGGGUUGUAAAGCACUUUCAGUAGGGAGGAAGGGUUAAGUGUUAAUAGUACUUAACUUUGACGUUACCUACAGAAGAAGCACCGGCUAACUCUGUGCCAGCAGCCGCCGUAAAAC
rnacentral:rRNA from 1 species